rnacentral:lncRNA from 1 species
UUUUAGGGCUGAAUUCGGGAUUUUUGGGCUAAAUUUGGGAUUUUUGGGGCUAAAUUUGGAAUUUUUGGGGCUAAAUUUGGGAUUUUUGGGGCUAAAUUUGGGGUUUUUGGGGCUAAAUUUGUGAUUUUGGGGCUAAAUUUGGGAUUUUGGGCUAAAUUCGGGAUUUUGGGGCUAAAUUUGGGAUUUUUGGGGCUAAAUUCGGGAUUUUUGGGGCUAAAUUUGUGAUUUUUGUCGCUAAAUUUGGGAUUUUGGGGCUAAAUUUGGGAUUUUGGGGCUAAAUUUGGGAUUUUUGGGGCUAAAUUCGGGAUUUUUGGGGCUAAGUUUGGGAUUUUUGGCGCUAAAUUUGGGAUUUUUGGGCUAAAUUCAGAAUUUUUGGGGCUAAAUUUGGGAUUUUUGGGGCUAAAUUUGGGAUUUUUGGGGCUAAAUUUGGGAUUUUUGGGGGCUAAAUUCAGGAUUUUUGGGGCUAAAUUUGGGAUUUGUGGACUAAAUUCGCAAUUUUGGGGCUAAAUUUGGUGUUUUUGGGGCUAAAUUCGGAAUUUUUGGGGCUAAAUUUGGGAUUUCUUGGGGCUAAAUUCGGAAUUUUUGGGGCUAAAUUUGGGAUUUUGGGGCUAAAUUUGGGAUUUUGGGGCUAAAUUUGGGAUUUUUGGUUCUAAAUUCAGGAUUUUGGGCUAAGUUUGGGAUUUUUGGGGCUAAAUUCGUGAUUUUUGGGGCUAAAUUCAGAAUUUUUGGGGCUAAAUUUGUGAUUUUUUGGGGCUAAAUUCGGGAUUUUUGGGGUUAAAUUCGGGGUUUUGGGUUAAAUUUGGGAUUUUUGGGGCUAAAUUCGUGAUUUUUGUCGCUAAAUUCGGGAUUUUGGGUUAAAUUUGGGGGUUUUGGGGCUGUUUGGGCAGGUGAGGAAGAGGAAGAGAAGGCGAAGGCGGGCGGCGCCGAGGCCGAGCGGCGCGGGGUGAAACGGCUCCGGGACGAGAAGGACGAGCACGGCCGCGCCUACCACGAGUUCCGUGAGGAGGCCUAUAACAGCCGAUCCAAAUCGCCGCCGCCGCCGGAGGAGGAACCGCCCGAGGGGGAAGAGGACGAGAGCCUCGUCAUCCUCGACACCUGUACGGGAAUCCCGGGAAUCCCGGGAAUUCCAGAGGGUUCCAGGAAUUUGGGAUCCUUGGGGGAGGGGAGGGAGAAUUCCCUGGAAUUUUUGGGGGGAUUUUGGGAUUUUUGGGGGAUUUUUUGGGAUUUUUUGGGAUGAUUUUGGAAUUUUUGGGGAUUUUUGGGGGGUUUUUUUGGAUUUUUUUAGGGGUUUUUUGGGAUUUUUCUGGGUUUUUUGGGGGAUUUUGGGAUUUUGGGAAAUUUUGGGGGAUUUUUUGGGGCAAUUUUG